rnacentral:sRNA from 1 species
UAUAAAGUUUUCUAGGGUUCCGCAGCCGUUUCGGCUGGCUGGUCCGAGGGAAAACGCGUUGCCAUAAUGCAGCGCCUUGCACGGAGGGACAAAAGCCCGGGAGAU